rnacentral:misc_RNA from 1 species
GUUAAUAUAUGCUGUGCACAUUCUUUUAAGCCUGUCACUGGAGCUUGAAAAAUCUGUGCUUUAUUAUGUGGCAACUGAUAAUAAGUUGAGUUGCUAAUGGUGUUUUCUUGGUAAAUCAAAUACAAUGCUGUGCUGAAAAUUGAAAUGGAUAGGUAGAGAGAUGAUUUUUGGCUCUCACAUGGAGUUUGGUGCAAUUGUGUGUAAUGCCUAUUGGUUGACAUUCAUAUGCACACACAGGGACAGAAAAAUUAGGUGGAAAUGGUAUUGGCAUGGCAUUUAAUUUCUGGGCUCCUGAACCAGGAUGACAUUUUAGAGUAUGAAAAACAUGCUGCCAAAUUACUAAAAUCAAGGUGUAUCAGUGGCACAAUAUAGGCUUGUGCUUGCUAAAACAUUGAGAAUUUGAGGACAUUCAAAUUUCAAUUUAUCUCGUUUCAGUGAUUCAGUCUUCUGGACAAGUGGAAUCAUUUCAGUUUAGCUAAAUAACUAUUGCAUUCCAAUUUUGAGUUUAUUUGCAUUUAUUUGAUUUUGUUAUGUUGCUAAAUUCAAGUGCAUUCCACACUCGUAUACCUUAAAAAAAAAAUGAGGCACUUGAUGCUCUAUAGGAAAUUCACUCUUCAGUUUAAUUAUGGCUAUUAUUUUCUGAGCGGUUAUCUUCUCAUUGGCAUAUUUCAUGUGAAUAACUGCUUUUUCAAUGUCCAUGGAAUUUUAUUAAUGAAAUUUGCUAAAUAAAUAAAUAAUAUAAAUUUUUGUUAAUCUUGUGACUGGUAGAUUGGCCAAAACAUCAAUGAUGCAUGAACAUGUGCAGUCUGAAACCUAUUUCUCUACCAUGGUUGCAGGUGUUAUCUAAUGUGAUAUAUAGUCUCUUGGAGCCUAUCUGAUGAUUUGUUCAUUGAUAUAGGACUCAGUAGUUGGAUUUUUG